CCCGAGUUGUUUGACCGCAUCAACAUGCUUAUGACUCAGUUUCACGAGGAAAGGUCGCGUUCCAAGCAGCUUCAUCAAAUGGUGGAAAAGCUCUUGCUCCGUCUUCCUCCGCCUGAGGAGCAUCACGGCUCGCCGACAUUGAGCUUCGUCGAUCACUCUUGUUCUCAAGACGUCCAUAAACAGGUUUUUCCCUCUACCGCUGACUCUAAACCUUGUGAUUUUAACCCUGGAUCUCGUGAGAAUCUGUUGAAAAACUCUGAGAUGCCUGUGUUUGAGGGAGAGGGUAUUUACGAGUGGAUUGCUUUGGUAGAGAGAUAUUUCCGGAUUGGUGGGUUUAAUGACAGGGAGAAGCUGGAUCUGGUCUCGGUUCAUCUCGCGGGUGAUGCCUUGGGUUGGUACAACUGGGAGGUUAACAGGUUGCUCUUCUCCAACUGGUUUCAAUUCAAGGAUCGGUUGUUGUUGCGCUUUGGGAACUUGCGGAUCAAAGGGCAUAGUCAGAGUCUCUUUUGUAUCAAACAAACUGGAACUAUUGCUGAGUAUCUGCGGCUCUUUGAGGACCUUUCUGCUCAAGUUUCUGGGUUGGAUGAUCACAAACUGGAGGGUAUCUUCUUGAAUGGGUUGCGCUAUGAGAUGUAGGAGUUAGUUUACAUGAUGAAACCGCAGAGUCUUCCUGAGAUGAAUGCAGUGGCCCUCUCCAUGGAAACUAGCACCUUACGCAAAGUAAUGUUGAAGGAGUUACCUGCGGGUGAGCUGGAGUCGUCUACUCAUCCGUAGCAGUCAACGUCGGUGGUUACUUGGAAAGGGAAACCAGUGGUUUCAGAUGUGGGUAAACUUCCGGAGAAACAGAGCUCCGGUGUGCCUCUGCGUCCUUAACAACACCAUUCCAACGCUGAUCUGGAUGACAUGCGUCGUAGAGGCUUGUGUUUCAAGUGUCAUGGCAAGUGGUUCCGUGGUCAUGAGUGCCCAAACAAGGAGCUCCAGAUCCUCACGGUUCUCGAUGACUACAUGGUGGAAGUUAUACAGGAACACCAAGAUCCUGAGGUUUAUGAGGUGGUGAAGGCUGGCCAAAAUGUAGAACUCUCCUACAGUUCUUACAUGGGUUUGUCCUCUCCUCUUACCACCAAGCUUCGUGGGGUUAUCACUAAUGAUGAGGUGACUAUGCUGAUUGAUAGUGGGGCGACGCAUAACUUCAUCACCCCGGCUUUGGUUAAACGUUUGAACCUGCAGAUUCAAGCUUCUGAGAAUCUGACCAUUGUGUUGGGUAUUGGUGUUACUGCUAUGAGUGGUGGUGUCUGUCGCAGGGUAAAGUUAAGUGCAAGGAUGGACUUUCACCUCUGAUUUAUUUGUGUUGGAGCUCAGUCAGGUGGAUGUCAUUCUGGGGUGUAUUGGCUCCGCAUCUUGGGGGAUUGCCAAGUAAACUGGGACAAGUGGGUGUUUUCUUUCCAUUAUCAGGGUGAAUUGGUGCGCUUGUUUGGGGAACCAAACUCCCCUGUGUCUAACAGUGCUCUCCUACUCACAGAGCCUUUUGUAGAUGAGCACCACACCAUCGCUUGUUCUAGUACAGUGCUUCACCAACAGGACCAGCUCACUCAUCUUGAUGUUUCUCGAGUGUUGCAGAAGUAUGCUCACGUGUUUGAGGAACCCACUGGACUACCUGCUGUCAGGGGCCGAGAACAUGCGAUCACUCUCGUGAAUGGGGUGCAGGCGGUCAGUGUGCGUCCCUACCGUUACCCUACAACACAGAAGGAGAUAAUGGAGACACUGGUCAAGGAAUGUUGCAGGCGGGUACCAUCCGUCCCAGCCAUAGUCCUUUUUCUAGUCCAGUUCUCUUAGUUCGCAAGAAGUAUAAGUCGUGGCGAUUUUGUGUGGACUACAGGGCGUUAAACAGAGCCACUGUUCCAGACAAGUUUCCUAUCCCUAUCAUUGAUCAGCUCCUGGAUGAACUCCACGGUGCUCGAGUAUUUUCCAAACUUGAUUUACGUGCAAGAUACCACCAGAUCUGCAUGAAGGAACAGGACAUUGAGAAAACUGCCUUUCACACUCAUGACGGCCACUAUGAGUUUCUUGUCAUGCCCUUUGGCCUCUCAAAUGCUCCAGCAACUUUUCAAGGACUCAUGAAUGAGCUGUUUCGACCAUACCUUCGUCAGUUCAUUCUAGUCUUCUUCGAUGAUGUGCUGAUUUACAGUGCCACACUCUCGGAUCACAUUAUUCAUUUGCGAGUGGUAAUGCAGAUCUUUGCUGCUAAUCGCCUCUUUGCCAACAUGAAGAAGUGCCUUUUUGCUCAAUCUCGUAUCGAAUACCUUGGUCACGUCAUCUCUGCUGAUGGAGUCUCCACGGACCCUGCAAAGACACAGGCGAUGACCAAAUGGCCUUCUCUCCGUACCGUGAAGGAAUUGCAAGGAUUGCUUGGCCUCACGGGCUAUUACCGCUGGCUUUGUUCGUGGAUAUGGCAUGAUUGCUCGUCCUUUAACGGAGUUAUUGCGUAAAGAUAGCUUUGACUGGAUUUCUGAGGCGCAUGUGGCAUUUGAACAUUUGAAGACUGCAAUGGCCUCUGCACCGGUUCUGGCUUUACGAAAUUUCUCCAAGCUCUUCAUUGUCGAAGCCGAUGCCUCUGGUUUUGGCUUAGGCACCGUCUUGAUGCAGGACAAACGUCUUGUUGCUUUUUUCAGCCAUGGCCUCACUGAUAAGGAACAACUGAAGCUGGUUUACGAACAGGAGUUAAUGGCCAUUGUUCUGGCGGUACAGAAAUGGAAACACUACCUAUUGGGACGCCGAUUUGUGGUCCAUACUUACCAGAAAAGUCUCAAAUUCCUGUUGGAACUGCGGGAGGUCACCAUGAAUUACCAAAAAUGGUUAAUCAAGCUGCUUCCUUACGAGUUUGAAAUUCUUUAUAAGCCUGGUAUUCACAACAAAGCAGCAGAUGGCUUAUCCCGGAUUUAACGCACUCCAGUUCUGGUCUCUACUCUGAGUUUAUUCGCCUUGACCGUCCCCACCAGCUUGCACCUGCAAGACAUUUACAAGGAGAUUCAAAGCAGUGUCGACUUGCAGCGUCUGCUUAAAAAAGAUCCACAGGUGUUGGCGGACCGCGGUUAUGAUGUUAGGGAGGGUAAAAUUUGGCACAAGAACUGAUUACUUCUUCCUCCUCAGUCACGACAUAUUCCCCUCAUCUUGGAGCUCUUUCUUGACAGUCCGUUUGGCGGCCAUUCUGGUGUUCUCAAAACACUAAAACGCAUUCAGUUGUCUUUCCAUUGGUGGUGGAUGCUCAAGGAUUUCCAGCAUUAUGUCGCCGAAUGUGAGGUUUGUCAGACUCACAAGACCUCCACUCUCUCUCCUGCAGGACUUCUUCAACCUUUGCUUAUCCCAGCUCGGGUUUGGGAGAAAGUGAGCAUGGAAUUUAUCAGGGAUUGCCUAUGUCUCAAGGUGUUAACGUCAUCUUGGUUGUGGUGGAUUGCCUCAGCAAGUUUGGCCAUUUCUUGGGGUUACGCCACCCGUUUACUACUCAGGACUUGGCUCAAAAGUUCAUUCACGAGGUGGUUCGCCUGCACGGGAUUUCGGCUUCUAUUGUCUCCGACAGGGACCGCAUUUUUCUCAGCAACUUCUGGAAAGAUUGUUUCAAACAGGCAGGAACAAAGCUCAAGUACAAUACUGCUUUCCAUCCCAGUCGGAUGGCCAAACUGAGGUCCUUAAUCGCUGUCUGGAAACGUAUUUGCGGUGUUUUACCUCUGCUCACCCUCGCUCUUGGGCCAAGUUUCUUCCUUGGGCGGAACUUUGGUAUAACACCUCCUUCCACACGUCUCUGCAGUCCACUCCCUUCAAGGUGGUGUACGGUCGGGAUCCUCCUCCUCUGCUCCCCUAUGAAGCUCGUUUUACUCAGAAUUUCGAACUGGAGAAGAUGCUUCUGGAGAGGGACUCCAUGCUUGUUGUUAUCCGCUCUCACUUGCUUCACGCUCAGCAACUAAUGACGAAUAACACUGACAAACACCGCCGGGACGUUGACUUUGCGGUGGACUCGUGGGUCUACCUUAAGUUGCGUCCCUAUCGCCAGCAGUCUGUGGUCAAGCGUAUCUGCCAGAAGCUGGCUGCUAAGUUUUAUGGGCCAUUCAAAAUCAUCGAACGCGUGGGCAAGGCUGCUUACCGCCUGCAAUUACCACCGUCCUCGAAGAUUCACCCAGUCUUCCAUGUUUCAUAGUUGAAGCAAGUACUGGGUUCUUAUCAUCAGGUUCUACCAUUACAUUCGUAUUUUUCGGACAAUGAUGAACUGGUCUUGGUACCUGAGGCGGUUUUGGCUACACGUUACAAUCCCCAAGGCCAGUUGGAAGCCUUGGUCUCGUGGCGUGGCUUACCUGCACAUGAAAAAACUUGGGAGAAUUGGAAGGAGCUUCGUCAGCAAUUCCCAACUCUAUCGCUUGAGGACAAGCUUGUUGGUGAAGGGGAGGGGGUAUUGAUAAACCACUACAGGUUUACGUGAGGAAGAAGCCAACACGUGCUACGAGGGGCACGUGCGAAAAUGCAAAUUAAGAUGACCGUUGGAUGCAGAUAUUUUACGAGGAGUGUUACGAUGGAAGCACGUGGUUCUGCAGAUAAAAUAUCUAGCUUAAGGCGGUUCACCUCAGCUUAUAAAUAAAGAGAUACAGUGUACCUGGUUCCUCAUGCAAUAUUGAUGUGCAAUUUCUCCUGCGUGGGAUCUAAGAUCUUAUCAGGGAAAUAGCGAGAGAUGUGAUCACCAAUGUUCUUAGCCACACCACAGAGCUCGACAUCAUCAAACCUCUCGUUCGCAUGAAAGUAUCCACUAUCCAACAAUACUCAAACCUUGAGCCACGUAAUGCUCCUCAAUUUACCACAACAAAAGUAUACCUGAAUACGUAAGUUUUUUCUUUAAAUGAUUCUGAAUGCAUAAGUUCAGAAUCUCAGAUCGAGUAAAGGAUAACAACGCUACAAUUUUCCAAUCUGCCAAUUCGCUUUGGAGAGCAGAUAAAUAUACUGACAUUAAAUC